rnacentral:rRNA from 1 species
AACGGACGAGAAGCUUGCUUCUCUGAUGUUAGCGGCGGACGGGUGAGUAACACGUGGAUAACCUACCUAUAAGACUGGGAUAACUUCGGGAAACCGGAGCUAAUACCGGAUAAUAUUUUGAACCGCAUGGUUCAAAAGUGAAAGACGGUCUUGCUGUCACUUAUAGAUGGAUCCGCGCUGCAUUAGCUAGUUGGUAAGGUAACGGCUUACCAAGGCAACGAUGCAUAGCCGACCUGAGAGGGUGAUCGGCCACACUGGAACUGAGACACGGUCCAGACUCCUACGGGAGGCAGCAGUAGGGAAUCUUCCGCAAUGGGCGAAAGCCUGACGGAGCAACGCCGCGUGAGUGAUGAAGGUCUUCGGAUCGUAAAACUCUGUUAUUAGGGAAGAACAUAUGUGUAAGUAACUGUGCACAUCUUGACGGUACCUAAUCAGAAAGCCACGGCUAACUACGUGCCAGCAGCCGCGGUAAUACGUAGGUGGCAAGCGUUAUCCGGAAUUAUUGGGCGUAAAGCGCGCGUAGGCGGUUUUUUAAGUCUGAUGUGAAAGCCCACGGCUCAACCGUGGAGGGUCAUUGGAAACUGGAAAACUUGAGUGCAGAAGAGGAAAGUGGAAUUCCAUGUGUAGCGGUGAAAUGCGCAGAGAUAUGGAGGAACACCAGUGGCGAAGGCGACUUUCUGGUCUGUAACUGACGCUGAUGUGCGAAAGCGUGGGGAUCAAACAGGAUUAGAUACCCUGGUAGUCCACGCCGUAAACGAUGAGUGCUAAGUGUUAGGGGGUUUCCGCCCCUUAGUGCUGCAGCUAACG